GAUGAAGAACGCAGCGAAAUGCGAUAAGUAGUGUGAAUUGCAGAAUUCAGUGAAUCAUCGAAUCUUUGAACGCACAUUGCGCCCUUUGGUAUUCCUUAGGGCAUGCCUGUUCGAGCGUCAUUUAAACCUUCAAGCCCUGCUUGGUGUUGGGUGCCUGUCCCGCCUCCGCGCGUGGACUCACCUCAAAUCCAUUGGCGGCCCCCGCACGGCCACGAGCGCAGCAGAAACGCAAACUCGUGCCCUGACCGGGCGGCUCCCAGAAGCUACACUCACCAUUUUGACCUCGGAUCAGGUAGGGAUACCCGCUGAACUUAAGCAUAUCAAUAAGCGGAGGA
rnacentral:misc_RNA from 1 species